rnacentral:lncRNA from 1 species
CUUUCCCUUUAAGAAAAGACUGAACUUGUAGGUCAUCAUUCUUGGCUGGACAUUAAUUAUUGAGUUUAUAUACAACACAUGCAUGCAGAACCCAGAGAGACCAAGAGAAGAAGAUGGAUUUCCCUGGAACUGGAAUUGCAGGCUAACAGAAAUGAGUGACAGCCUCGAGGGACUUGGAAGAUGUAGGGCAAGCUGAUUCCCAUCACAUCACAUCUGAUAAUGCUGAAGACACAUAGAUCCUGAGGAUGACCAACAGUUACCAGAAACCUAAUCAGUGGAAGGACAGCUUUUCCCAUGGACACUGGU